rnacentral:tRNA from 1 species
GGAGGUUUACCCAAGCCUGGCUGAAGGGAUCGGUCUUGAAAACCGACAGGGGAUGAAAGUCCCGCGGGGGUUCGAAUCCCUCAACCUCCGCCA